UACGGGGGGUGCGAGCGUUGUCCGGAAUCACUGGGCGUAAAGGGCGCGUAGGUGGUCUUGUAAGUUUGUGGUGAAAGCCCGGGGCUCAACCCCGGGUCUGCCGCGAAUACUGCGAGACUUGAGUACUGUAGAGGCUGGUAGAAUGCCGGGUGUAGCGGUGGAAUGCGUAGAGAUCCGGCAGAAGACCGGUGGCGAAGGCGGCCAGCUGGGCAGUGACUGACACUGAGGCGCGACAGCGUGGGGAGCAAACAGG
rnacentral:rRNA from 1 species